rnacentral:rRNA from 1 species
GAUGAACGCUAGCGGCAGGCUUAACACAUGCAAGUCGAGGGGCAGCAUGAGACGGAGAUUCGUCGAAGUCUUGAUGGCGACCGGCGCAAGGGUGCGUAACGCGUGAGCAACUUGCCCGUUUCAGGGGGAUAACCGGUGGAAACGCCGACUAAUACCCCAUAGUAUCAUUUUACGGCAUCUUUUAGUGAUUAAAGAAUUUCGGAAACGGAUAGGCUCGCGUGACAUUAGCUAGAUGGUGAGGUAACGGCUCACCAUGGCGACGAUGUCUAGGGGUUCUGAGAGGAAGGUCCACCACACUGGAACUGAGACACGGUCCAGACUCCUACGGGAGGCAGCAGUGAGGAAUAUUGGUCAAUGGUCGAAGGACUGAACCAGCCAUGCCGCGUGAAGGUGACGGCCCUAUGGGUCUUAAACUUCUUUUGUAAGGGAGCAAUAAGUUCUACGUGUAGGACGAUGAGAGUACCUUACGAAUAAGCAUCGGCUAACUCCGUGCCAGCAGCCGCCGUAAGAC